AUGUUCCUGUGGGAUCUGUGGGAUCAGCUCCCUCAUGUUCCUCUGGGAUCUGAGGGAUCAGCUCCCCCAUGUUCCUGUGGGAUCAGUUCCCGCCAUUUCUGUGGGAUUUGCAGGGUCAGCUCCUCACCCUUCCUGAGGGAUCAGCUCCCCAUUUCUGUGGGAUUUGUGGGGUCUGAGGGAUCAGUUCCCGCCAUUUCUGUGGGAUUUGUGGGGUCUGAGGGAUUUGUGGGGUCUGUAGGAUAUUUUUUUGCAGGGAUAUUUCACAGCGGGCUGUCCCUGGCACAUUCAUCGUGUGCUGCCAUUUUAAUUUACCUUUCCCCAAGCAGCCAAACCCUUUCCUUUAUUUUUAUUUUUAAUUUUUUUAUUUUCUGCACUUGA
rnacentral:lncRNA from 1 species